UACGUAGGGUGCGAGCGUUGUCCGGAAUUAUUGGGCGUAAAGAGCUCGUAGGCGGUUUGUCACGUCUGCUGUGAAAUCCCGGGGCUCAACUUCGGGUCUGCAGUGGGUACGGGCAGGCUAGAGUGCGGUAGGGGAGAUUGGAAUUCCUGGUGUAGCGGUGGAAUGCGCAGAUAUCAGGAGGAACACCGAUGGCGAAGGCAGAUCUCUGGGCCGAUACUGACGCUGAGGAGCGAAAGCGUGGGGAGCAAACAGG
rnacentral:rRNA from 1 species